UACGUAGGGGGCAAGCGUUGUCCGGAUUUAUUGGGCGUAAAGAGCGUGUAGGCGGCCAGGUAGGUCUGGUGUGAAAACUCGAGGCUUAACCUCGAGAUGUCAUCGGAAACCAUUUGGCUAGAGUCCGGAAGAGGAGAGUGGAAUUCCUGGUGUAGCGGUGAAAUGCGCAGAUAUCAGGAAGAACACCGAUGGCGAAGGCAGCCCCCUGGGAUAACACUGACGCUCAUGCACGAAAGCGUGGGGAGCAAACAGG
rnacentral:rRNA from 1 species